rnacentral:lncRNA from 15 species
AUGGCCGUGCUGAGUGCAGUAGAGCCGCAGAAACCCACAGGGUCACCUGACGACUGGGUGGAAUGGGUCCUGCAUCGGCUGCAUCAGGAGCCGUGGGCACUGGGUGGGAUUGUGGUCAUGGGACUUUUUGUGCUGACAAUUCUGUCUCUGGUCACCUUCGCUCUGCUGUACGGAUGCUGCUGCAGCCCAAGAGGAGGGAACCAGAAGAAGAAGAUGCAGAAGAAGGAUGGAGUGAUCUAGACACGUGAAGGGAACUAACUCAUACAUAUCCUGUAAAAUGAAUGUUGACAUGAUGGAGAACUUGUCUGAAUUUAGCUGUCCACCUUUGGGUUGGUGGUAGUUAGAUGUUCCUUUGCUGUUUUCCAGUUCUGUAUUUGUACUGGGUGACACAACAGCAAAUAUCUUUUUAAUUUUAUUUUCAAAUGUAUAUUACUCAUUAACAAGUAGAACUUGACAUGAUUUUUAAAUACUCAGGCAGUCCAGGUGCAUAUACAAUGACAAUGACUGACUUUAUGUGAGUACAUACUGCCUGCCCAACACUGAAAUACAGUACAUUGCUGUUAAAAGAAAGGUUAUUAGCAGUUCUAACCUUGCAUAUGGAUGCCUUUUAACCUGCACAAGAUCAAAUCAGUGCCUGCUCAACAGGAAGCUGCUUGUCGUUUUUUUUCAGUAAAGAUGCCAUCUCACGUGUCUUUUAAACAUUUGCAGCAGAGGUGGAGGCUGGGUUAGUAUAUGACUGUAUGUGAUUGCCUUUUUUUUAUUAAUUCAACAGCAGUUGGACAUAACAGAAUAAAAUGCUAUGUUUCAUAAAAUAUGAAAGCUGUGAGAAAUUGUUUUACAUAGUAAUUUGAUUAGUUUAAACAUCCCCUCCACACAUGUAUUAUCAUAUAUAUAUAUAUAUAAAUGGUUUGCUUGGAACAAUAAUGUGUGUCUGAUAUGGUAUCAUUUACACAUUAAAAUCCUUAAAAAGAUAUUUAAUCCUUCUUCCUCAUUAAAAAUCUAUGAAUCCAGAAUCUAUGAUAUUUGCUAAUGUUGUUUAUUAAUGUUGAAACAAGAUGUCUCCUACUUGUGAUGUCACAAAUCAUGCUUGUAGGCCUCGCCCUUUAAAUAAAAAAAAUCAGAUUUUCAGUGAGCGCAGAGAAACUUUCCACUUUCAGCAGAAGAAUAGAAAAACAUCCUUCUAGUGUCAGACUCUGCAGAUACAUCAUUCAAACAUCAUCAUGCUUUUUAAUUGGUGAAGGACUUUAAUGACGUAGGAAGCUUCCAGAACUACAUUUAAACAUUUAUUUAUACAGCGUUUAUUUAUUAUUUAUUAUUUAUUACAUAAAAGAAACCACAGACUGUAGGCCUUCCGCACCACCAAAUAAACAUAAGGACUACAUCUCCCAGGGCUACCCUGCUGCCUACGCAAUACAAUUAUACUGACGUUAUCACUCUGCGACCUGGCG